GGGGGCGUGGCUUGGACUCCGGAGAGAACAGACACAUGGCGGCUGAGCUCCUGUUUCCUACACCAUAUAACGACAUCAUACAGCGUUCACUCACCCCGCACCAGGCAGAAACUCAGUCCCACGAUGCUCCACAACAUGUGGAAGAGGGCAAAGAAAAUUUAAAUCAUGGCUGGAGAUGGCUCCUGCAGUAUUAGCGACCUGCUACAACCGCGGCC